CCUACGGGGGGCAGCAGUGAGGAAUAUUGGUCAAUGGGCGGAAGCCUGAACCAGCCAAGUCGCGUGAGGGAAUAAGGCCCUACGGGUCGUAAACCUCUUUUGCCGGGGAGCAAGGGCGGGGACGUGUCCCGGCCCGGAGAGUACCCGGAGAAAAAGCAUCGGCUAACUCCGUGCCAGCAGCCGCGGUAAUACGGAGGAUGCGAGCGUUAUCCGGAUUUAUUGGGUUUAAAGGGUGCGUAGGCGGUUUUUUAAGUUAGUGGUUAAACGUCGGGGCUUCACCCUGAUUUGCCAUUAAUACUGUAAGA
rnacentral:rRNA from 1 species